GGAAAAGUUAAAAUAUAACUUCUUAAUCAAUUUGACUGACCAGGAAUAUUAAUUGUCUGGAGAAAAAAUGUCGCAACCUACAUUGCCCCGGAACUAUAGCAGUGCACUGACGUAAGUAUCAGGCUUCACAAGACGAAGAAUAUGCCCAGGCAUCAUAGUUUGGUAGUUCAUAAUGCAGUUGCAGAGUCAAAACCAGAUGGCUUUAAAGCCAAAAACAUUUUUGACUUACUAUUACCUUGGGGAACAGCAUACAAACCAGUGAAAGUACUUCAACUUCCAUAUACUA
rnacentral:misc_RNA from 1 species